rnacentral:rRNA from 1 species
UACGUAGGCAGCGAGCGUUGUUCGGAGUUACUGGGCGUAAAGGGUGCGUAGGCGGUUGUUUAAGUUUGGUGUGAAAUCUCCCGGCUCAACUGGGAGGGUGCGCCGAAUACUGAAUGACUAGAGUGCGGGAGAGGAUAGUGGAAUUCCGGGUGGAGCGGUGAAAUGCAUAGAGAUCCGGAAGAACACCGACGGCGAAGGCAGCGUCCUGGCCGAGCACUGACGCUCAGGCACGAAAGCGCGGGGAGCAAACAGG